rnacentral:tRNA from 1 species
GUCCCUAUCGUCUAGCGGCCAAGGACGCCAGCCCCUCAAGUUGGAAACGCAGAUUCGAAUCCUGCUGGGGACACCA